AUUGAACGCUGGCGGCAGGCCUAACACAUGCAAGUCGAACGGUAACAGGAAACAGCUUGCUGUUUCGCUGACGAGUGGCGGACGGGUGAGUAAUGUCUGGGAAACUGCCUGAUGGAGGGGGAUAACUACUGGAAACGGUAGCUAAUACCGCAUAACGUCGCAAGACCAAAGAGGGGGACCUUCGGGCCUCUUGCCAUCGGAUGUGCCCAGAUGGGAUUAGCUAGUAGGUGGGGUAACGGCUCACCUAGGCGACGAUCCCUAGCUGGUCUGAGAGGAUGACCAGCCACACUGGAACUGAGACACGGUCCAGACUCCUACGGGAGGCAGCAGUGGGGAAUAUUGCACAAUGGGCGCAAGCCUGAUGCAGCCAUGCCGCGUGUAUGAAGAAGGCCUUCGGGUUGUAAAGUACUUUCAGCGGGGAGGAAGGGAGUAAAGUUAAUACCUUUUCUCAUUGACGUUACCCGCAGAAGAAGCACCGGCUAACUCCGUG
rnacentral:rRNA from 1 species